rnacentral:rRNA from 1 species
GAUUGUAACGCGUGGAUAACCUGCCCAUUAGACCGGGAUAACGCCGGGAAACCGGUGCUAAUACCGGAUACGUUCAUCAGAUCGCAUGAUUUGAUGAAGAAAGGAGCAAUCCGCUAAUGGAUGGGUCCGCGUCCCAUUAGCUAAGUUGGUAGGGUAACGGCCUACCAAGGCGACGAUGGGUAGCCGGCCUGAGAGGGCGAUCGGCCACACUGGAACUGAGACACGGUCCAGACUCCUACGGGAGGCAGCAGUGGGGAAUCUUCCGCAAUGGGCGCAAGCCUGACGGAGCAACGCCGCGUGAGCGAAGAAGGCCUUCGGGUUGUAAAGCUCUGUCCCGGGGGAAGAACAAAUGACGGUACCCCGGGAGGAAGCCCCGGCUAACUACGUGCCAGCAGCCGCGGUAAAACGUAGGGGGCGAGCGUUGUCCGGAAUUACUGGGCGUAAAGGGCGUGUAGGCGGUUGCGCAAGUCAGUAGUGAAACCCGCCGGCUUAACCGGCGGCUGGCUACUGAAACUGCGCGACUUGAGUGCAGUAGAGGGGAGUGGAAUUCCCAGUGUAGCGGUGAAAUGCGUAGAUAUUGGGAGGAACACCAGUGGCGAAAGCGGCUCCCUGGCCUGUAACUGACGCUGAGGCGCGAAAGCGUGGGUAGCAAACAGGAUUAGAUACCCUGGUAGUCCACGCCGUAAACGAUGGGUGCUAGGUGUUGCGGGUAUCGACCCCCGCAGUGCCGCAGUUAACGCAAUAAGCACCCCGCCUGGGGAGUACGGCCGCAAGGCUGAACUCAAAGGAAUUGACGGGGGCCCGCACAAGCGGUGGAGCAUGUGGUUUAAUUCGACGCAACGCGAAGAACCUUACCAGGUCUUGACAUCCCC